AUUAGAAAAAAAGAGAAUCAAGGAAAACAACAAAUUCUGUUCUGUUACUAAUCCUUGGUAACAGAAUAUCAAGUAACCUGAUUUUCUGCGCCACAAGUGAGCGAAUCACCAAAUUAAAAGAAAGAGAAACAGAUCAGUUUUUUUUUAUUCUUUUCUCUUUUGUUUUUACUUUUUCAUUUCAUUUUCUAUUUAAUUAAUCAAUCAUUUCCAUCAAUUAUCUUAUUAAUAUUAACCCGUUGUUAUCUUUAAUCAGUCCCAUGGGUGUGUUGUAGUUGUUGUUUGUCUAUGACAAUGAUGAACAAUUCAAAUGAAUCAACAACCUUUUCAAUUAUUUUUUGUUCGUUGCUACAAUUUGCUUAUUCUGUCAAUUCAAUUGGAUUAUUAAUGUUACUCAUCUUAUGAUCAGCCUAUUCUUUUAAAUGGAAUCAUUUACCUGGAUAACUAUUCGUUAUUUAACUGCGUAUUUUGCUAUUGUUCAUUUGAUUGUCUUUGGUCAUGAUAAUAGAAAAUAUUCCGAUCAAUAUAUUCUCAAUUCUUAUGGAUCUUCUGAAGACGUAAAGAAAAUUGUGAUGGAACAUGGAUUCAUUUACUUGGGACAAAUUUUUGAUGAUAUUCAUUCAUUUAAAGAUGGAUUAUCUUUACCCGAUAGAUGUUCAAUCAAUCCCAAUCUCACCGAUAUUUCAACUGAGAAGAUUGUAUCAUCUAUAACGCAUUUACAUGCUCUUAAACGGAGGAAGAGAAUUUGACCUCAAAAUCGAGUCGAUUAUGGAUUCGAGUCCCAUCGACUGUGUUAUAUUGGUUUUACUUUAGAUGAAAUUUUUUUUAACUCGAGUCAAUCACUUACUUUAACAAAGCCGAACCAAAACCAAUCGACAAAAGGAAAGCACUAACUCAUAGAAUCUUCUUUUCGAGAUGAGCAUUUCGAUUCAAGACAAUCAACCAAAGUGUAAAGAAUUUCCUAGCUCUCUGCAAUCAACUAUUUAGAUGAUGAAAUAAUUUUGAUUAUUCUAAAAUCACCAACAUUUACAACUCAUAAUCUAUUUGUACAUUUUGAUUGCUAAGUUUCCAUUCAAUAAUAUGAUGAAAUUCUGAUCAAAUAUUUCAGGAGAAAAAAACGAAGAACUGAGAAAAUGUAACUCGAUUGAAAAGUUAAAACAUUUCUAACGAAAAUCAUGUCACCUUUUCCCGUUAUACUUUCGUUUUUAAUAGAUCUUCAAUUCUCUGUGAGAAUACUAACAAUUUCCGGAUCCGUUAGAAUUGCUUAUUUGAGUUUUACUUUUAGAGCUCCUGAUUGUGGUAAAACAAUAAUAGCAAAGGUUGUUUCUUCUGAAUCUAAUGUACCUUUCCUUGCGAUGGUUGGAACGUAAUUCAUUGAAAUGACUGGUGGAUCGAGUUAGAGAUUUGUUUAAGGAAGCUCGAAAACGAGCACCAU